rnacentral:rRNA from 1 species
UACGUAGGGGGCAAGCGUUGUCCGGAUUUAUUGGGCGUAAAGAGCGUGUAGGCGGCCUGAAAGGUCAGCUGUGAAAACUCGAGGCUCAACCUCGAGACGUCGGUUGAAACCAUCUGGCUAGAGUCCGGAAGAGGAGUGUGGAAUUCCCGGUGUAGCGGUGAAAUGCGCAGAUAUCGGGAAGAACACCCGUGGCGAAGGCGGCUCUCUGGAACGCAACUGACGCUGAGACGCGAAAGCGUGGGGAGCAAACAGG